CAGAUCACAAUGUGCCACAUGUAUGAGGAAUGGUUAUUUUAACUUUCAACAAGCUGUGGUAUAUUGGUAUACGCUGACAAUCGUGCUGAUUUGUUGAACACAAGGAAUGCACAAUAUAUUUAUUAUUAAAGUGAACUGAUUCGUUUGGUAGAAUUAAAAACAAUACGGAGUUGGCAAAUGGUAGUUAUGAAAUUGACAAAUGGUCGGCUGUCCAACAACUAGAAACUAAAUUACGGAAUUAUGGUGAAAAUGUGCAACGAUUUGAAGUAACAUUCGUACUGAAAAACAAAGUUGAGAAAAUGAAAAGAACCAGUUGAAUUGUGUGUAAAAGGAAAGUUUUAAUUCUAGACUAUGCGUGGUGUUAGUUACGAUGUUCUGGACCUGUUUUGUCCUACGUGGUGAUCAUGAGAUUAAGGAUGUGGCAUUCCUUCAUAUUUAAGCAGUGAACGGUAUUGGUCAUUUGGUCAAAACGUGGAACAUAUAGCGCUUGUUAUUAGUUCGUGAUGGUACUUUGUCUGCCAGUAAAUUAACAAAACAAACUUGUUGGAGAACAAAGAAACCUGAACAAUUAUUUACCUUCAGAUAUUAUGAAUUAGUUCUAGUAUAAUUAUAUUGUUUGU